UCAGAUAAGAGAAUCUUACUGGGGCUUAAUGGAGACCGAGAAGAAGCUGGAGCAGAUGCCGAAGCAGGGAUUGAAGCUGAUGAGGUCUGGGUUGCCUGUCUCUUCCUGCGCACGCCUUUUUCCAACUCGCGGACCGACUUUCUUCUUUGUGGGAGCUUCAUUUUCGGAGCCAUUUGCACUGAUGAGACUAUCACGGAGCUUGGGAGAGCAAAUGUGAGGGUGAGAUG
rnacentral:lncRNA from 1 species